rnacentral:rRNA from 1 species
AUUGAACGCUGGCGGCAGGCCUAACACAUGCAAGUCGAACGGUAACAGGAAACAGCUUGCUGUUUCGCUGACGAGUGGCGGACGGGUGAGUAAUGUCUGGGAAACUGCCUGAUGGAGGGGGAUAACUACUGGAAACGGUAGCUAAUACCGCAUAACGUCGCAAGACCAAAGAGGGGGACCCUCGGGCCUCUUGCCAUCGGAUGUGCCCAGAUGGGAUUAGCUUGUUGGUGGGGUAACGGCUCACCAAGGCGACGAUCCCUAGCUGGGCUGAGAGGAUGACCAGCCACACUGGAACUGAGACACGGUCCAGACUCCUACGGGAGGCAGCAGUGGGGAAUAUUGCACAAUGGGCGCAAGCCUGAUGCAGCCAUGCCGCGUGUAUGAAGAAGGCCUUCGGGUUGUAAAGUACUUUCAGCGGGGAGGAAGGGAGUAAAGUUAAUACCUUUGCUCAUUGACGUUACCCGCAGAAGAAGCACCGGCUAACUCCGUG